rnacentral:rRNA from 1 species
CAGAUGGGAGCUUGCUCCCUGAUGUUAGCGGCGGACGGGUGAGUAACACGUGGGUAACCUGCCUGUAAGACUGGGAUAACUCCGGGAAACCGGGGCUAAUACCGGAUGGUUGUUUGAACCGCAUGGUUCAAACAUAAAAGGUGGCUUCGGCUACCACUUACAGAUGGACCCGCGGCGCAUUAGCUAGUUGGUGAGGUAACGGCUCACCAAGGCAACGAUGCGUAGCCGACCUGAGAGGGUGAUCGGCCACACUGGGACUGAGACACGGCCCAGACUCCUACGGGAGGCAGCAGUAGGGAAUCUUCCGCAAUGGACGAAAGUCUGACGGAGCAACGCCGCGUGAGUGAUGAAGGUUUUCGGAUCGUAAAGCUCUGUUGUUAGGGAAGAACAAGUACCGUUCGAAUAGGGCGGUACCUUGACGGUACCUAACCAGAAAGCCACGGCUAACUACGUGCCAGCAGCCGCGGUAAUACGUAGGUGGCAAGCGUUGUCCGGAAUUAUUGGGCGUAAAGGGCUCGCAGGCGGUUUCUUAAGUCUGAUGUGAAAGCCCCCGGCUCAACCGGGGAGGGUCAUUGGAAACUGGGGAACUUGAGUGCAGAAGAGGAGAGUGGAAUUCCACGUGUAGCGGUGAAAUGCGUAGAGAUGUGGAGGAACACCAGUGGCGAAGGCGACUCUCUGGUCUGUAACUGACGCUGAGGAG